rnacentral:tRNA from 1 species
CACUAAGAAGCUAAACAAGGAACAGCGUUAGCCUUUUAAGCUAAAGAUUGGUGACUACCAACCACCCCUAGUGA